CACGCGCCGCGCAGCCGGGCCUCCGCGGCCGCCGGGUGCCCCGAGGAGCAGGAGCCGGGACUGCAUGGGGCCGGGAGGCGUCGCCGGGCGCGGGGAGGAGGGUCCGGGGCGAGUCGCGUCCCGGACGGGCGGCGUGAGGCGGCGCGACCGGGGGGACAGGAAGCGGCACCGCGCCGAGUCCGCCGGAAACUCCUUCCCCCGGCGCGGCCGCCUCGGCCGUCUCGGGCCGCCUUGGCCCACGGUGGCGAAGCGUAUCGGCGCCCGGCGCGGAGGGCCAAGCCGGAGCCGGCCGGGCGGAGCACCUGCAGGCCCGCGGCCCCGGGGACGCCUCGUCCUCCUCGCCCUCACGUGCCCCGGCUCCCCAGGCCAGCCUCUAGGCGUUUCCCCGUGCUCCCGGAGUAAACGCUUUGGAGUUCAGAAAGUGCUUAAGAGCUUCAGAAGCAUUUGGUGGUGUGACUUUUUCUUGAUGAAGAAACUGAGGCUGGAAGAGUUAAGUACCUUGAUCGGGGCAUCUCCAUUUAAUCUUACUGGAAUCCAGAACACCCUUCAAACAGUAGAAGAAUAAUAUAAGGUGCCCCUGAUACGACUGGAUCCCAAGAGUACGGCACCUUUGAGAAGAGACUGAUAAGGAUCCUUCCUGAGAUGGGCGCCGUGCCAUUUGGAUCUGCUCUUGACAUGGCACAUGUGAUAAGUUCAUUGGACACAGAUGUCCUUUACUUUGCCACAUGUACCACCCCUGGAAACUCACAUGAUGAGGUCCUCAAGGGACAUCUGAGAUAAACCUGAUGGAGGGACUUCCCUGGUGCUGCAGUGAUUAAGAAUCUGUCUGCCAAUGCAGGGGACACGGGUUCGAUCCCUGAUCUGGGAGGAUCCCACAUGCCGCGGAGCAAUGAAGCCUGUGCGCCACAACUACUGAGCCUGCGCUCUAGAGCCCGUAAGCCACAACUACUGAAGUCCACACACCUUGUGCUCUGCAACAAGAGAAGCCACCUCAAUGAGAAGCCUGCACACUGCAGCAAAAAGUAGCCCCCGCUUGCUGCAACUAGAGAAAGCCCGUGCGCAGCAACGAAGACCCAAUGCAGCCAAUUAAUUAAUUAAUUUUAAAGAAACCAAAAACCUGAUGGAGGGGCUCUCAGUGGACACUGCACCUACAACAGGUCUUGGGGUCUUCAAAGAGUCACCUAAGCCCCUUGCAUAGUCACCUCUAAGGACAUUUGUCUUGUCUCAUUUGUGCUUCUUCGGACAUUGAAAUGGAGCAUGUAUCUCUUCUUUAUCUGUCUCCUUGACUUCAUGUACUCUGACCCUUUAAGGACAGCGUCUUUAAGAAAGAUUAUAAAAUGAAUACAUGCUCAAAAAUUCAAAUGCGGGGAAGUGAAAGGUCCCUGCUGCCCCAUUCCUUCACUUUCACACCCCAGAGGUGUCCCUCAUUAAAUUUAUGAAAUACCUUCCUGAGUUUCUCUAUUGAUAAACAAGCAUAUAUCUAUACAUAGCAGGCAUGAUUAUUUUCAGGACACUACAUUCAGAAGUGCAAAAAUGUAACUUUUAAAAAAUAAUAUCUUUAGCUUUAUUUUGAGCACCAGUUCUGUCCAGUGGGAGAAAAUGUCAUUUCGAAGGAAACGCAGGCAUUUCAGGCUUUUCUCAGUCAAUUGAGGAGC